rnacentral:rRNA from 1 species
UACGGAAUGUGCAAACGUUAUUCGGAAUCACUGGGCUUAAAGCAUCCGUAGCCGGUUCUACAAGUCUUCCGUUAAAUCCACCUGCUUAACAGAUGGGCUGCGGAAGAUACUAUAGAGCUAGGAGGCGGGAGAGGCAAGCGGUACUCGAUGGGUAGGGGUAAAAUCCGUUGAUCCAUUGAAGACCACCAGUGGCGAAGGCGGCUUGCCAGAACGCGCUCGACGGUGAGGGAUGAAAGCUGGGGGAGCAAACCGG